rnacentral:rRNA from 1 species
AUACGGAGGUUGCGAGCGUUAAUCGGAAUUACUGGGCGUAAAGCGCGCGUAGGCGGUUAGAUAAGUCUGAUGUGAAAGCCCUGGGCUUAACCUGGGAACGGCAUUGGAUACUGUUUGACUAGAGUGCAGGAGAGGAGAGUGGAAUUCUCGGUGUAGCGGUGAAAUGCGUAGAUAUCGGGAGGAACACCAGUGGCGAAGGCGGCUCUCUGGACUGACACUGACGCUGAGGUGCGAAAGCGCGGGUAGCAAACAGGAUUAGAAACCCCAGUAGUCC